AAAUAAGAAGCAUUAAAAUGCUUUUAGUUUCGACCUAAAUGACUGGCUGGCGGGCCCUUAUUUA
rnacentral:tRNA from 1 species